rnacentral:siRNA from 1 species
ACCACUAGACCACAAAUGCUUGGG